AUGAAUAAAUCCCAAUUUUGUGACUCAAAUGUUGAAAUCCAAGACAUUACAGUAUGUCAACACAAUACUUCCUGUACUAAUGAAGGUAUAAAGGUGUCCACAUAUUUUGGGUGGCCACAGAGAGUGGUAGAAGACUCGGGGGGUAAUACUAUGGCAUUCUAUUUGAAGACUUUCUACACUGUGUUGGUACUGACACUGACAGGAGGCCUUGAUCCUACCAGUGUCUCAGCAGCAUCUCCUAAUCCUAGCUCAGUGUCCGUGAGGCCCAGCCCACAGCUCUCUCUCCCCAUUCUCAGCCAGUCCUUCAGCCUGGACUGUAACGGCUCCUUCCCAGGCCUGCCAGUGCUUUGGUACAAAGACGGCCAGGUUGUAGCUCCAGACGCCAGGAUAAACCUGUUGGAACACAACACCUCCCUCCACUUCAACUCCCUGCUGCCCUCUGAUGGUGGCUUCUAUCAGUGCGAGGUGACCAUGGCAAACAUGGCUGAAAGCAAGGUCAUAAGCUUGGGCUACCUGCUAAACUUUGAUCAUUGGAGUGUUAGUAUCAGUGGCCCUGACACAGUGUUGCCUGGAAGGGAAUACACCUUUACCUGCCAGGUGAACUGCACUGUCGACCUGGACUGCUCCAUCCGCUGGCCAUUGAGGGGGGGUAUCCUUACUAGCGCCUACUUCUCCGUGAGGAAGAAUAUCCUGAAAUGGAUCCCGUCGGUACCUGGUACGGUCCAGAACUUCACCUGUGUGGUGGAGAACACAGCAGCUGGACGCUCUGCAGAGGCCUCCAAGACAGUGAAGGUCACAGGACCCACAGUAUCAGGAUCUGAAACAGUGAGGCUGAGUGGAGUUUUAGGACUGGUCCUCUGUAUGGGACUGCUGUUCCUCCUGGAUCCCUAG
rnacentral:lncRNA from 1 species